AAAGGUUUAGUUAAAACAUAACAUUAAUUUGUCAAAUUAAAAUUAUUAAUAUAAUAUCCUUUA
rnacentral:tRNA from 1 species